UAAGCCUGUGAAGGUGGCCUGUGAGGGUUGCUGGAGGUAUCAGAAGUGCGAAUGCUGACAUAAGUAACGAUAAAGCGGGUGAAAAGCCCGCUCGCCGGAAGACCAAGGGUUCCUGUCCAACGUUAAUCGGGGCAGGGUGAGUCGACCCCUAAGGCGAGGCCGAAAGGCGUAGUCGAUGGGAAACGGGUUAAUAUUCCCGUACUUGGUGUUACUGCGAAGGGGGGACGGAGAAGGCUAUGUUGGCCGGGCGACGGUUGUCCCGGUUUAAGCGUGUAGGUGUGUGUUCCAGGUAAAUCCGGUUCACUUUAACACUGAGGCGUGAUGACGAGGCACUACGGUGCUGAAGUAACAAAUGCCCUGCUUCCAGGAAAAGCCUCUAAGCAUCAGGUAACAUCAAAUCGUACCCCAAACCGACACAGGUGGUCAGGUAGAGAAUACCAAGGCGCUUGAGAGAACUCGGGUGAAGGAACUAGGCAAAAUGGUGCCGUAACUUCGGGAGAAGGCACGCUGACACGUAGGUGAAGUGAUUUACUCAUGGAGCUGAAGUCAGUCGAAGAUACCAGCUGGCUGCAACUGUUUAUUAAAAACACAGCACUGUGCAAACACGAAAGUGGACGUAUACGGUGUGACGCCUGCCCGGUGCCGGAAGGUUAAUUGAUGGGGUCAGCGCAAGCGAAGCUCCUGAUCGAAGCCCCGGUAAACGGCGGCCGUAACUAUAACGGUCCUAAGGUAGCGAAAUUCCUUGUCGGGUAAGUUCCGACCUGCACGAAUGGCGUAAUGAUGGCCAGGCUGUCUCCACCCGAGACUCAGUGAAAUUGAACUCGCUGUGAAGAUGCAGUGUACCCGCGGCAAGACGGAAAGACCCCGUGAACCUUUACUAUAGCUUGACACUGAACAUUGAGCCUUGAUGUGUAGGAUAGGUGGGAGGCUUUGAAGUGUGGACGCCAGUCUGCAUGGAGCCGACCUUGAAAUACCACCCUUUAAUGUUUGAUGUUCUAACGUGGACCCGUUACCCGGGUUGCGGACAGUGUCUGGUGGGUAGUUUGACUGGGGCGGUCUCCUCCUAAAGAGUAACGGAGGAGCACGAAGGUUGGCUAAUCCUGGUCGGACAUCAGGAGGUUAGUGCAAUGGCAUAAGCCAGCUUGACUGCGAGCGUGACGGCGCGAGCAGGUGCGAAAGCAGGUCAUAGUGAUCCGGUGGUUCUGAAUGGAAGGGCCAUCGCUCAACGGAUAAAAGGUACUCCGGGGAUAACAGGCUGAUACCGCCCAAGAGUUCAUAUCGACGGCGGUGUUUGGCACCUCGAUGUCGGCUCAUCACAUCCUGGGGCUGAAGUAGGUCCCAAGGGUAUGGCUGUUCGCCAUUUAAAGUGGUACGCGAGCUGGGUUUAGAACGUCGUGAGACAGUUCGGUCCCUAUCUGCCGUGGGCGCUGGAGAACUGAGGGGGGCUGCUCCUAGUACGAGAGGACCGGAGUGGACGCAUCACUGGUGUUCGGGUUGUCAUGCCAAUGGCACUGCCCGGUAGCUAAAUGCGGAAGAGAUAAGUGCUGAAAGCAUCUAAGCACGAAACUUGCCCCGA
rnacentral:rRNA from 1 species